rnacentral:tRNA from 1 species
GCUGGUUUAGUUUAACGGGAAAACGUUGCGGUGUGGGCGCAGAAACAGGAAAUCCUAGCUAGUU